AGCAGCCGCGGUAAUUCCAGCUCCAAUAGCGUAUAUUAAAGUUGUUGCAGUUAAAAAGCUCGUAGUUGAAUUUCGGGAUCAAUGCGUCGGUCGUGCCUUCGGUACGUACUAGCGUCAUUGAUUCCUCCCUUCUGAAGAACCGUGAUGUCAUUAAUUUGGUGUUACGGGGAAUCAGGACUGUUACCUUGAAAAAUUAGAGUGUUUAAAGCAGGCUAACGCUUGAAUACAUUAGCAUGGAAUAAUGAAAUAGGACGUUCGAACCUAUUUGUUGGUUUCUAGGAUCGACGUAAUGAUUAAUAGGGAUAGUUGGGGGCAUUAGUAUUCAAUUGUCAGAGGUGAAAUUCUUGGAUUUAUUGAAGACUAACUACUGCGAAAGCAUUUGCCAAGGAUGUUUUCAUUAAUCAAGAACGAAAGUUAGGGGAUCGAAGACGAUCAGAUACCGUCGUAGUCUUAACCAUAAACUAUGCCGACUAGGGAUCGGAUGAUGUUAAUUUUUUAAUGUACUCAUUCGGCGCCUUAC
rnacentral:misc_RNA from 1 species